GACAAACGCUGGCGGCGUGCCUAAGACAUGCAAGUCGGACGGGGGCUUCGGCCCUAGUGGCGGACGGGUGAGGAGCGCGUGACUGACCUGCCCUCGAGUGGGGGAUACCGCCAGAAAUGGCUGUUAAGACCGCAUGAGACCCAUGGGUGCGAGCUUGUGGGGGAAAGCCUUCGGGCGCUGGAGGAGGGGGUCGCGUCGGAUUAGCUAGUUGGUGGGGUAACGGCCUACCAAGGCGACGAUCCGAGCUGGUCUGAGAGGACGGCCAGCCACACU
rnacentral:rRNA from 1 species